rnacentral:rRNA from 1 species
CCUACGGGAGGCUGCAGUGAGGAAUAUUGGUCAAUGGACGAGAGUCUGAACCAGCCAAGUAGCGUGAAGGAUGACUGCCCUAUGGGUUGUAAACUUCUUUUAUAUGGGAAUAAAAUGUUCCACGUGUGGGAUUUUGUAUGUACCAUAUGAAUAAGGAUCGGCUAACUCCGUGCCAGCAGCCGCGGUAAUACGGCGGAUCCGAGCGUUAGCCGGAUUUAUUGGGUUUAAAGGGUGCGUAGGUGGAUUGUUAAGUCAGUUGUGAAAGUUUGCGGCUCAACCGUAAAAUUGCAGUUGAAACUGGCAGUCUUGAGUACAGUAGAGGUGGGCGGAAUUCGUGGUGGAGCGGUGAAAUGCUUAGAUAUCACGAAGAACUCCGAUUGCGAAGGCAGUUCACUGGACUGCAACUGACACUGAGGCUCGAAAGUGUGGGUAUCAAACAGGAUUAGAUACCCUUGUAGUC